ensembl:lncRNA
GACCCUGUCUUUUUUUUUUUUUUUCCAGCCAUGAAGAUCACAGUGCAUCUUGUACAAAAUUAGCAAAUGCAAGGCUUUGGCACACAUGAAAAUCUGAUGUCUGAUCCUGAACGUGGAGUUUUAGUGGAUCAAAAUCAAGAUUUUAGUGCAUAAUAAGGGCGAGGAAUAAAAGAGGAGCUGCCUGACAGUCCAGCAUCAGCAUUGAUGAAUGAUGGUUCUUACAUUCAGUACUCACACAUCUCUACUUGCUAGUUUACAUCUGACUUGUUAAAAGUCAGCCAGGAGCGUGUAUGGAGUUCCACUGACAGGCAUCCUCGCAUCCCUUAUACACUCUUAUCCAAAGCAGAAUGAGCUCCUCGUGUGACUGUUUUUUCUUGGGACUCCAGACUACAGAUGCCUGACAUCAGCCUCCCACAGAUUCUCUCAGUUUCCACUUCACCUCCUCAGUUCGCCCAAAUCAAAUUUGUGCAAGAAUUCAUUUUACUCCUUGCAAAUAAUUUUUAUAUAAAGACCACACACACCCCAGAGAGCACAUAUAUGACAUGGUGUCUUCUAAUGGUCUGAUGCUUCUACCAAACUUACAACGUUGGUUUUUUGGGUGACAUGCGUCCUACUUUAUGACUAGGAAAAUGGUUGGAAAGAUGAACCCUGACUGCAGUUGCAUCGCCAAACAAAGCUGGUUGGAAGCAUUUGUGGUAAUUUUAAACUGCACUGACAUAGCCGAUCAAAGUAAACGAAGAUACAAACUUAACUGAAAUGUCUUAUUUUUCUCUUUCCUGGGCUUGCACUUCUAUUGCCUCUCCUUCUCUAAGCGCUGAUGGUUUAUGUAUUUAAAUGCCUCAUGCUCUGUCAACCUGCCCUCCAAAAACACUGAUAUUAAUCUGCUGCAUGCCAGACACUAGUGCACUGCUGAAGUAAACAUAUAUUGUGCAGUGCUGAACAUGACCUCCUGUGUUGUUGUGAUGGAUGGUUGCAGGAGGAACAGGACGUAAGCAGUGUGGCCUUGGAUGAUGACAACCUCUGUUCUCUUCAGCUGCAGCGUAGUAAAUGCUGUUUUUUCAGGCAGGCAUUUGACUCCCUGGUACUAUUUAGCCUCUUUGUCUUUAACAGAGACCCAAGGAAUGUAAUAAGGUGUGGUACGAUCAUGCUGCCAACUCCAGGAUUCUGUCUGUUAUGUUUUUAUCUAGCUGAAUGAGCUUGAAAACCCCUGGUGUCAGAUGCAUUAGUAGAAGAAUACAAGUGAAAAUGUAGACUACAUCGAAUUAGAGAGUUUAAACUUUAUUGUCCCUUAUGGCUAUGGGGUGGCGAGGGUGGACCAUCAUCCGUGUUGCUGUGGCUGGGGGGUCCCCGGGACCUGGGGGCUGUGGUCGGGCGGGGGUUCUCCUGCGUGCCCGACGGGUCCGGGCAGGUGCGAUGGCUCUUGGUGGGCUGCGGGGGCUGGAUUGGCCGUCCUGGUGGGCGCUGUGGCUGUACUGCGGGCUGGUGGGUUGUCAGGGCGCAUAGCGGGGAGUGGGGGCCCUGGGUGUACUGCGCUCACCUGGGGCCUGGUGCGGGGGGUAUGCGGGGUGCCUCCCUGUCGGCGUCGCCGGGCCCCACCACACUGUCCAUUUUUACCCUCUGGACUCGCAUCGGGUCCCGGCUCCGGUGGUGGCCUGCCUUGUGAUGGGCUGGUUGCCGCCCCUUCGGUGGGCCACUCGGCCCCUGUGUCUGGC